rnacentral:lncRNA from 1 species
UGCAGCGAGCAGGCGGUACAAGGCUACAUGGCGCGGUAUGCUACUUUCCAACGCCUCGGACGUCAACCAACUUGCCAGGAUUUCGCCCGUAUACACAAUGGUGGUCCAGAUGGCUAUGACGAAGAUGGUACCUUGGGAUAUUGGGAAAACGCUUUUGGUCGUUAUGAAGAGUGCCGAUGUGCAGCAGGUGAACCACACAAAUGGGGAGAAGAGGAAGAAAGAGAUAGGGGGACAGCAACUGGAGGGAGAUGGAAGUCCAGACACUCUGCCCCUGUCUGCCAUUGAAGAAGAAGCCUCUCUUUGGAUCAGGGGGUCAAGCUUCUAGUAUGAAGAUUGUUCAAGAGUCACGACUGUUGAAGAGGUGACGUCAUGGACCUGGUAGCACCUGGCUAUGGAACUAUUUUACUGUUCACACUCAAGUAUCAUAAAAACGCUUUAAAAAUUUGAACAUUAACAAAAGUACUAAUUUUCAUUUUUCAAAGAUAAUAAUCAUUAUAUUGACAUUGUGGAUAUGUUUUAUGAUUAUUAUGAAAUUAUUAUAAUGUUGAUAAUGAUAAAAAUUAACUAUAAGUAGAAAAGAAGACAACCAAGAAGGAGGAGGAGAAUAAGAAUAAAUUACAACACUGUGAGUUCCU